UGAACCAGCCUGGGACAGAGGGCAGUAAAAGCCCAGGAAAAUAAGACCUCUGCAUUUCCUGGAGGGCCAUUUAAACAAAAACUCAACAAUGAGCCUUAUGAAGAAAGAAAUAUAAAACCAAGACAUUACUAUCCCAAUCCAUGCUUUUCAUAUCCACAUUCCCUUGCGAGUCAGUCUGU